AGUUUAUUAUAUCCCCACUGUACAGACCAAACCCAGGUAGAUGACAUGAGUUUAUUAUAUCCCCACUGUACAGACCAAACCCAGGUAGAUGACAUGAGUUAUGUCCCCACUGUACAGACCAAACCCAGGUAGAUGACAUGAGUUUAUUACAUCCCCACUGUACAGACCAAACCCAGGUAGAUGACAUGAGAUUAUUAUAUCCCCACUGUACAGACCAAACCCAGGUAGAAGACAUGAGUUUAUUACAUCCCCACUGUACAGACCAAACCCAGGUAGAUGACAUGAGUUUAUUACAUCCCCACUGUACAGACCAAACCCAGGUAGAUGACAUGAGUUUAUUAUAUCCCCACUGUACAGACCAAACCCAGGUAGAUGACAUGAGUUUAUUAUAUCCCCACUGUACAGACCAAACCCAGGUAGAUGACAUGAGUUUAUUAUAUCCCCACUGUACAGACCAAACCCAGGUAGAUGACAUGAGUUUAUUAUAUCCCCACUGUACAGACCAAACCCAGGUAGAUGACAUGAGUUUAUUAUAUCCCCACUGUACAGACCAAACCCAGGUAGAUGACAUGAGUUUAUUAUAUCCCCACUGUACAGACCAAACCCAGGUAGAUGACAUGAGUUAUGUCCCCACUGUACAGACCAAACCCAGGUAGAUGACAUGAGUUUAUUAUAUCCCCACUGUACAGACCAAACCCAGGUAGAUGACAUGAGUUUAUUAUAUCCCCACUGUACAGACCAAACCCAGGUAGAUGACAUGAGUUUAUUACAUCCCCACUGUACAGACCAAACCCAGGUAGAUGACAUGAGUUUAUUAUAUCCCCACUGUACAGACCAAACCCAGGUAGAUGACAUGAGUUUAUUACAUCCCCACUGUACAGACCAAACCCAGGUAGAUGACAUGAGUUUAUUACGUCCCCACUGUACAGACCAAACCCAGGUAGAUGACAUGAGUUUAUUAUAUCCCCACUGUACAGACCAAACCCAGGUAGAUGACAUGAGUUUAUUAUGUCCCCACUGUACAGACCAAACCCAGGUAGAUGACAUGAGUUUAUUACAUCCCCACUGUACAGACCAAACCCAGGUAGAUGACAUGAGUUUAUUAUGUCCCCACUGUACAGACCAAACCCAGGUAGAUGACAUGAGUUUAUUAUAUCCCCACUGUACAGACCAAACCCAGGUAGAUGACAUGAGUUUAUUAUAUCCCCACUGUACAGACCAAACCCAGGUAGAUGACAUGAGUUUAUUAUGUCCCCACUGUACAGACCAAACCCAGGUAGAUGACAUGAGUUUAUUA